GGGGGCGAUCGGCUUCGACCGGAUGCCGACACGACCUGAGUGGCGCGCCGAGGGCCGGGGACCUCGUUAAUCCCACCGGAAAAACUUAAGUGCCAACACGCACUACUCCCUCGCUGCUUAAGAACUAAGCAACGACGCUGAGAUCCCCUCGUCUGCGGGGGGUCGAAGCGACACACAGCAGGCUGGUCGUUGGGUGGCUGCUCGGCCUGCCCGCGACAAGAAAUAGUCGAGCUGGCUGCGGUCGAUCCUGUUCGUCGGAGCGACCGCGGCGACACCAAACGACGAACUACGCGCGUAGAGGCUCAGGACGGAGCAUCUCGGGACGCGGGUUCGAUUCCCGCCGCCUCCACCA
rnacentral:tmRNA from 2 species